GGAUUAGAUACCCUGGUAGUCCACGCCGUAAACGAUGGAUACUCGCUGCUGGUCUACUUGAAGGCCAGUGGCUGCGCGAAAGCAUUAAGUAUCCCACCUGGGGAGUACGCCCGCAAGGGUGAAACUCAAAGGAAUUGACGGGGGCCCGCACAAGUGGUGGAGCAUGUGGUUUAAUUCGAUGAUACGCGAGGAACCUUACCUGGGCUCGAAUGGUAUCGGAAGGUCCCCGAAACGGGACUGUUUCUUCGGAACCGGUAUCAAGGUGCUGCAUGGUUGUCGUCAGCUCGUGUUG
rnacentral:rRNA from 1 species